UAACACUAUUAAUAUUUAUUAUUAUCACUAUUAUUCACUAUGAACUGGGACUCAAAAGGACUUACAAAAGGAUGACUGCUGCACGGUUAUCUUCAAGGCCUAUUGAAAGGCUGGUGCCUUUUAGUUCACUUUAUCAUGUACCGUUUUAUAGGUGUCAUAAUUGAAACAAUGAUUAAGCGAUUGAUCAGGGUACUGUAUAUUUCAGCCCAUAUAAUGAAAAUAAAAGUGAUUCACAAAUGGU